UGAGGAAUAUUGCGCAAUGGGCGAAAGCCUGACGCAGCGACGCCGCGUGGGGGAUGAAGGUCUUCGGAUUGUAAACCCCUUUCGGGUGGGAAGACGGCGCUCGACCACGAGCGCGGACGGUACCACCAGAAGCAGCCACGGCUAACUUCGUGCCAGCAGCCGCGGUAAUACGAAGGUGGCAAGCGUUGUUCGGAUUUACUGGGCGUAAAGGGAGCGUAGGCGGUUCGGGUAAGACCGGGUGGGAAAGCCCGGAGCUUAACUCCGGAAGGUCACCGGUGACUGCCGGGCUAGAGGACGGGAGAGGAGCGCGGAAUUCCCGGUGUAGCGGUGAAAUGCGUAGAGAUCGGGAGGAAGGCCGGUGGCGAAGGCGGCGCUCUGGAACGGUCCUGACGCUGAGGCUCGAAAGCGUGGGGAGCAAACAGGAUUAGAUACCCUGGUAGUCCACGCCCUAAACGAUGGACACUACGUGCCGGCGGGUUCCCGUCGGUGCCGCAGCUAACGCAGUAAGUGUCCCGCCUGGGGAGUACGGCCGCAAGGUUGAAACUCAAAGGAA
rnacentral:rRNA from 1 species